ACGCUAAAGCUCGAAGGUGCGGGUAUCGAACAGGAUUAGAUACCCUGGUAGUCCGCACGGUAAACGAUGGAUGCCCGCUGUUGGCGAUACAAUGUCAGCGGCCAAGCGAAAGCGUUAAGCAUCCCACCUGGGGAGUACGCCGGCAACGGUGAAACUCAAAGGAAUUGACGGGGGCCCGCACAAGCGGAGGAACAUGUGGUUUAAUUCGAUGAUACGCGAGGAACCUUACCCGGGCUUGAACUGCAGCAGAACGAUUCAGAGAUGAAGAGGCCCUUCGGGGCUGCUGUGGAGGUGCUGCAUGGUUGUCGUCAGCUCGUGCCGUGAGGUGUCGGCUUAAGUGCCACAACGAGCGCAACCCCUGUCCCCAGUUGCCGUCGGGUUAAGCCGGGCACUCUGUGGAUACUGCCGCCGCAAGGCGUGAGGAAGGUGGGGAUGACGUCAAAUCAGCACGGCCCUUACGUCCGGGGCCACACACGUGUUACAAUGGGGGGCACAGCAAGCUGGAUGCAGGCGACUGCGUCCGAAUCCUGAAAUCCCCUCCCAGUUCGGACUGGAGUCUGCAACCCGACUCCACGAAGCUGGAUCGCUAGUAAUCGCGCA
rnacentral:rRNA from 1 species